CCUACGGGGGGCAGCAGUGGGGAAUCUUGGGCAAUGGAGGAAACUCUGACCCAGCAACGCCGCGUGAAGGAUGAAGGUUUUCGGAUUGUAAACUUCUGUCGCGAGGGAUGCAGAAUGACGGUACCUCGUAAGAAAGCCCCGGCAAACUACGUGCCAGCAGCCGCGGUAAUACGUAGGGGGCGAGCGUUGUCCGGAAUGACUGGGCGUAAAGGGAGGGUAGGCGGUAUAGUAAGUUAUGUGUGAAAGGCCGCGGCUCAACCGCGGAAUGGCACAUAAGAUUGGGAAGCUGGAGUGCAGGAGAGGGAAGUGGAAUUCCCGGUGUAGCAGUGGAAUGCGUAGAUAUCGGGAGGAACACCAGAGGCGAAGGCGACUUACUGGACUGUAACUGACGCUGAGGCUCGAAGGCGUGGGGAGCAAACAGGAUUAGAUACCCUGGUAGUC
rnacentral:rRNA from 1 species